GAGUUGAUAAAGUUAUAUAUUUUUGUAAUCUUUAUUUUUAGACGUUUGUGUGUAUCUGGAUAUAUUCUUAUUUUCAACCAAAUUAUUUUUAUUAUCAAAAGAUUUUAAUUUUGUUUAAAUUUCUUCAAAACCUAAAUGAUGGCAUUAUUAAGUAGUGUGAACGAGGAAAGAAAGAUCAUUAAAUUGUAAACAUGGCGACAUCGAGAGCGUCUGCUUCAACAAAACAGAUAAUUUGGAGGUCAAUAGAUUUCGAAAUAUUUGGAAAAGUUCAAGGUGUCUUCUUUAGAAGGGAUACGAGAAGGAAAGCAAGGGAAUUAUUUCUGACAGGAUGGGUACAAAACACCAACAAAGGGACAGUUAUUGGGCAAGCUCAGGGACAAGAAGAUAAAAUCAAACUGAUGAAAUCUUGGUUGAAAACUAAAGGAAGCCCGAAGUCAAGGAUUGACAAGGCAGUAUUCUCGAAUGAGAAAAAUGUUGAUGAGCUAACUUUUAAAUCAUUUGAUAUUAUGAGGUAGCAGGCUUGCAAAUAGCUGAUUUACUGGAGUUGUAUUCAUGAUUAUUGGGCAAUGUGUCGUAAUAUUUAUUUUAUUUUCUUUACAAGUCCGCAGUGAUAAAUAUGCAUGUACCUUGUACAGAGUGCUUAUAAAUGUAAUUUAAUCAGAUUGAUGGCAGCUAUAAUCUGAAUUGUAUCCUGUGUUUCAAGAUAAAGGACACUAAUAUUCACUUGUUUCAAGUAGAAAAGUUUGGUUCAAAGUGUUUAUUUUAAGAUUUACAAAGUGUUUUGAAUUGGUAUGUAUAUAAUGGCCAUUAUUGUAAUACAUUUCUUGCUGUUGCUUCAAAUAGAUGUAUCAUUUCCUAUAACAAUCAUAAAAUCUAAGGGAUGCAAAGUUUCAGGAAAAGUACUAAAAUAUAUUUCAGCAUGAUCACUCAAUCACAGACUGAAAUGAUAGCCCAUUUGUUCUCUGGAUUUCAAACAUUAUACCUGCAAUAAGGCGAGAAAAAAAAUAAUGCAUGACCGAAAAUAGUAUUGUGAAAUAAAAAAACAAGAUUGAAAAACUCCUUCCUUUUGUCCCCAAAGAUGUUGACACCAAUCAUCAAAAAUUCAGUUUCUAUCAAGUCUAUUUGAAGCUUGAGAUGUGGCUGAUUCAUAGAUGCCAACAUCUCCAGAUUAUUCUUGCCCUCCAAGGCUGUGACAAUUAACUGGCAUCCCUAAAUUUCACAAUGAAAGCAUGAAAUAGAACACCAGGAAAAUAAAAAUUCUGUAAACAAGAUUGAGUGUUUUAGGAGAUAUACAGUCAAAAUUCUGUACAAAUUUAUUUAUUGACAUUCUCUGAGAACUAUACUUCAUAUUUAUAGAAGAAAUGAAACAUGGAUACUGGUUAAAAAGAAACAUAUUCCACCUUGAUACUGUGAAUGAUUUUCUUUUUUUUAUGCAAAAAAAGAAUGCAAGGGACACUGCACCGUAAUUGGAAACACAAAUAUUGAUGCAUUUUUAUGAAGUAGCAUUGCAAUCAGUAUUACAAGCUUAACAGAAUAUAUUAAUUACUGUAAAUGCAGUUGAUUGGAAAUCACCUAAAUCCAUUGUAGUUGGGAAAAGACAACCUUUGUGUUUUGAAACAUUUGUUCAUCCUUCUGAAAGUCCCUUUCCUUGGUAUUUCAUGUCAGAAUACACAUUAUAUGUUGACCUUUUAAAAAAUCCAUAAUGUCAUGAGGCUUCGUUAAAACAGUAUUACACUAUUGUUAACUUACAUAUUGUACAAUAGUGGUUUUGUGUACAUUAAAUUUUAAUGGUAACUGAUUUCUUUGCAUUGCAUUAUAGGCCUAGUACUUGUGUAACACUGAAAUGGUAUUUCGUGAUUUUUUUAGUUACAAUAUAUAAGCUGUGUUUCUUUUGUUAUUGUAAUAAAUAAAUCUGUAUAUACUUGCAAAUUCUUAAGGUAUUCUACUGAUUCAUUCAGAGUCUUUGUAUUAAGUUGUAAUGACAAGUGGGUCAAAAGUGAAAUCAAACUUAAUCAUCCACAAUUGUAAUAUUUCAUGCUGCUUUCCAAGAAAAGUGAAUAAGAGGCUUUCAUAACUGAAUAGAAAUUUGAUGUGUCCGAAGGACACAGAUGCCCCCGCUUAACGCGAUCAGAAAUUCAUUCAAUAUGAUUGAACUUAAUAUCGUGCAGAAACCAAUAUGCAUACAUAAUUAA